GACGAACGCUGGCGGCGUGCUUAACACAUGCAAGUCGAACGGAAAGGCCCUGCUUUUGUGGGGUGCUCGAGUGGCGAACGGGUGAGUAACACGUGAGUAACCUGCCCUUGACUGUGGGAUAACUUCAGGAAACUGGGGCUAAUACCGGAUAGGAGCUCCUGCUGCUUGGUGGGGGUUGGAAAGUUUCGGCGGUUGGGGAUGGACUCGCGGCUUAUCAGCUUGUUGGUGGGGUAGUGGCUUACCAAGGCAUUGACGGGUAGCCGGCCUGAGAGGGUGACCGGCCACAUUGGGACUGAGAUACGGCCCAGAGUCCUACGGGAGGCAGCAGUGGGGAAUAUUGCACAAUGGGCGGAAGCCUGAUGCAGCAACGCCGCGUGCGGGAUGACGGCCUUCGGGUUGUAAACCGCUUUCGCCUGUGACGAAGCGUGAGUGACGGUAAUGGGUAAAGAAGCACCGGCUAACUACGUG
rnacentral:rRNA from 1 species